AUGCAGUCGAACGGUGAAGGAGAGCUUGCUCUUUGGAUCAGUGGCGAACGGGUGAGUAACACGUGAGCAAUCUGCCCUUGACUCUGGGAUAACUGCGGGAAACUGUAGCUAAUACCGGAUACGACCUGGAGAGGCAUCUUUUUGGGUGGAAAGAAUUUUGGUCAAGGAUGAGCUCGCGGCCUAUCAGCUUGUUGGUGAGGUAAUGGCUCACCAAGGCGACGACGGGUAGCCGGCCUGAGAGGGUGACCGGCCACACUGGGACUGAGACACGGCCCAGACUCCUACGGGAGGCAGCAGUGGGGAAUAUUGCACAAUGGGCGCAAGCCUGAUGCAGCAACGCCGCGUGAGGGACGAAGGCCUUCGGGUUGUAAACCUCUUUUAGUAGGGAAGAAGCGACUGGGUUUUCCUGGGAGUGACGGUACCUGCAGAAAAAGCACCGGCUAACUACGUGCCAGCAGCCGCGGUAAUACGUAGGGUGCAAGCGUUGUCCGGAAUUAUUGGGCGUAAAGAGCUCGUAGGCGGUUUGUCGCGUCUGCUGUGAAAACCCGAGGCUCAACCUCGGGCCUGCAGUGGGUACGGGCAGACUAGAGUGCGGUAGGGGAGAUUGGAAUUCCUGGUGUAGCGGUGGAAUGCGCAGAUAUCAGGAGGAACACCAAUGGCGAAGGCAGAUCUCUGGGCCGUAACUGACGCUGAGG
rnacentral:rRNA from 1 species